CCUUCGAUAGCUCAGCUGGUAGAGCGGAGGACUGUAGAGGAACAGGCUGCGGGAAUCCUUAGGUCGCUGGUUCGAUUCCGGCUCGAAGGA
rnacentral:tRNA from 1 species